ACUUUUUUCCUUGCCUUUCCUACAUGGAAUUCUACAAAGAUUCCUCUACAAUUAAUGCAGCAGCAAAAGUAAGAAAAUGGACAGAAAAGGUUUAAAGUUGGAAAGCCAUUAUUCUCAAACUUCUCUCAAGUGGUAAAAUAUGAUUCAGAGAUGCACAGAAGUGAAAAGCAGAUGUCAAACUUAAAAGCCUAAAUACAUAAGUACCUACAGCUCUACAAGUGAAGAAAUCUGACCGCACGCUUUCGUGGGUGCCGACCCCGGCGCUGUGCCUGUGGUGGAGGUGUUGUGUCACCAGCCUGAGCAGAGCCAGCCCCUGCCUCCCUGCAGCUGCCUCUCAUCUCUCCACUCUGCUCAGAGCAGCCAGAAGCACCAGCUGGUGAAGGAAAGGAUGCUGAGACAGCCCCCCUGAGCUGGUGUCCAUCCCUCCCUCACCGUGUGGCCUUACCCGCUCUGCAGCACUCAUCUCACAGCUCCAUCACCUUUCCUCAGGAUUUUACUGCUCUGGCAGCUAACUGGGUUAAGGUUACCCAUGAGGUUUCUGAUGAAGUGUGAAGGAAGUGAGGACACACAUGCCACUGCUGUUGUGGUGGUGCUUUCUUGUUCAUUGAUUCCUGUGGCUCCUGUACAUUGGUGAAGAUGCUGAGAGCAGCUGGAGGAAUGAGGGCAUUUUGUCUGUCCCAUGCUGUAGAAGGCCUAAUUCUUAAUUACUAAUUAAUUCUUGAUGAGUCUUUUGUUAGCCUUGACAAAUUCAACAGUCACAUUAAUGAUAUCUCUCCAAACUGGAAUUUGUUUCAAUUGUGUUUUAUUUUUAAGAAGAUGAGUGAACCCACAAGAAUUCCCUCUGCAGGAUACAUCUUCAGUCAUUUCACCACUCCUAAGAGUAAACUAACUCCCUGCUGAGUUAUUCAUGACCCUUCUCAGCCAGGCUGAUGUGAUCUGAUCACUUCCUGAGGCUGUUGUGAGGAAUAAACCAAGCAUCUCCCUUCA